AUGAAGGGACCGCUUGAGAAGAGAAUCCAAUUCCAAGACCAUCAGCCCGUGAUAUAUAUUGUGUCGAUGGUGAUGAAUAGAGAGUGCGGGCCGGGCUUUGAAACCGAAGCUAGUCGUCGUCCCCAAACAAACAACAAGUGGAGGAGGGAGGGGAGGAAACCAGGCCUAGGGUUGAAGAAGAAAAAGUCUUUGGAACUGGGACCCGUCUGGUGGGAUGUUUGCAAACAACAGAGCGAAGAAGAAGAAGAAGAUGCCGUAGGUUCGGGGGACAAGAAGGAAACCAGACUUGAAGACGCUGGAUGGAUGCGCACCGGUUUCUGUAGAGAAUGCCGCUCCUGUCGAGGCUAG
rnacentral:rRNA from 1 species